AGCCCAGUCGUUUAGUUGGUCCAAGACGCCGUCCUUUGAAGUCGGUCAUCGUAGGUUCGAAUCCUACCUGGGUUG
rnacentral:tRNA from 1 species